GGUUGCGAUCAUACCAGCACUAAUGCACCGGAUCCCAUCAGAACUGCGCAGUUAAGCGUGCUUGGGCGAGAGUAGUACUAGGAUGGGUGACCCCCUGGGAAGUCCUCGUGUUGCAACCC
rnacentral:rRNA from 1 species